rnacentral:rRNA from 1 species
GUCGUGAGACAGUUUGGUCCCUAUCUUCCGUGGGCGCUGCAGAUUUGAGGAAGCCUGCUCCUAGUACGAGAGGACCGGAGUGGACACACCUCUGGUGUAUCGGUUGUCACGCCAGUGGCAUUGCCGAGUAGCUAAGUGUGGAAGAGAUAACCGCUGAAAGCAUCUAAGCGGGAAACUCGUUUCAAGAUGAGAUCUGCCGGGGCCUUGAGCCCCCUGAAGGGUCGUUGUAGACCACGACGUUGAUAGGCUGGGUGUGGAAGUGCAGCAAUGCAUUAAGCUAACCAGUACUAAUUGCCCGUGCGGCUUGACCCU